CAGCUAAAGAAACCGGCUCAGAGAAUGUUAUUUGAUUGGACCGUGUUGCAUCUCUGGACAGUGCAGCUGAGAUCAGACUUUGUGUGUAACUCCACUAGCCUACCAGGGUGCCUCUCAUAAAGCUACCCUUCUUCGGCUGGCAACACACAGGACCUGGCGGGGAGGUCGCUCUUACCAGUCCCCACUCUGACGAGAAGACUGCCCAGCUCCAGGCACCGUAGGGCCCCAGUGACGUAGCCGAACACCCACGCCUCUGACGUCGCCAGAGGCCCACCUCUAUGGUGUCGGCGAAGGCGCGCCAUUGUGACGUCACGGAAGGCGCGCUCUUGUGACGCCACGGAAGGCGCGCUCUUGCGGCGUCACGGAAGGCGCGCUCUUGUGAGGUCGCAGGGGACCGCCACUCACGCGGAGCCAAUCGGAACUCGCGGCGGGGCUGCUGGGUCUUCCAGGAGCGCGCUUGAGCGGACGCUGCCUACCGGUGGCCGGGCGGGAUGUAACCCGCUGCUGAGCUGGCAGCUCUGUGUCGCUAGGCUUCGGCCCGGCCGCCGCCGCACAUAAGCUGCGAGGAGGAGCUUUACGACUUCCCGGUCUUCGGGGCCGGGCGCAGCAAGGGCCAGACUCUGCGCUAGCAGGCGCUGCGCGCCAACCGGCCGGCACCUGUCGCAGAAGGUGCAACCGAUCGCACUGUCGCGCCGAAGCUCCUCAAUGGCCAGCGCCAGCUGCAGCCCCGGCCGCCCACUCGCCUCACCUGAGCCUGGGAGCUUGAAAAAUCACAUUUGAGAAGAGGAUUGGAUCCUAGCCAUAACAUAAAUAUAAGGGUGGAACCAAAGUUUUAAUCAAAGAAGGUGGUGUUCAGUUGCUGCUUACAAUAGUUGAUACCCCAGGAUUUGGAGAUGCAGUGGAUAACAGUAAUUGCUGGCAGCCUGUUAUCAAUUACAUUGAUAUUAAAUUUGAGGACUACCUAAAUGCAGAAUCGCGAGUGAACAGAUGUCAGAUGCCUGGUAACAGGGUGCAGUGUUGUUUAUACUUCAUUGCUCCUUCAGGACAUGGACCAUUACAUAACUGAAGACUCCCACCUUCAGGCAGGAUUGGGUAGUACGUGUUUGUAACUACCUGGCAUUGCCUUUUGUUGAGGUUAGAUCUUGGGACAGCCCACAUACCUAGACAAACUUAGGCUUUCCAGCUUGCACUGGACCAGGGUGGAAAGGAAGGGUAGAUGUCUACCCAAAUGGAAUAUUGAGUAUCAGAGACUUCAAAUGAUAACUUUUGUUUGUUUGGAGAAAAUCUUGAGGACGUGAUCACUGUACAAAAGCAUGGCAAAAUGAGGAAACCACUGACAGGUGAAGAAUUUGCACAAUGGAAAACCACCUUGACCAUCUCAUGACUUUAUACAGGAAUCGGAGGUAAGUGUUCCUUUAAAGUGAUUUUGUCAUGAAAGAGUCAUCUGAAAUGACUCUCGUGAUGGAGGAAAGGAAAGUAAUGAAAUCAACAUUCAUGGUUAUUUAAAAUGCCUUAAAAGCUAAGCAUAAUAUACAUAGUAACUCCUUUUCCUAGUAUAAAAAUAGUGCCAGAAACUAUAUUUGUUCAAAUAUAUUGAAAAGGUAUAAGAAUACAAAUAGAUAUUAACAGUGGCUAGUGAUGCCUCAUAAGGUUUUCUUAAACUGUAAUAUAAAUUUAUAUUUUCAACUAUUUACAUUGCUUUCAACAACAUUCAUUAAGACAUGUUUACACAGGCUUUUAGUAAGUAUAUGGAAUGGUAAAGUGAGCUUUAAUACUUUCUUCUUCACUCUCUGUAGUAGAGCAGAAGGGGUCCAAAACCAUGCACAAUUUAACAGUCCAGAAGAACUGUGUAAUCUUUACCUGGCUAGCACAUGGAAAAAAUAAACUAUAUACAAGAAUACAAAACUCCUAAAGUGUUCUUCAACUAUCAGCAGGUUAAGUGAUUCAUACUUGCAAAAAGACAGGAUGUUUGUUUACUGGUAGAUUCUUAGUAAGUUUCAGGUAAAGAAGGUGCAUAAAACAUAUGUUAUUGAUGAAAAUGGAAAUGAUGCAGUAUACCCCAUGUUCUCACAUUAAAUUGGCAGUAUCAGAAGCUAAGUCUCUUCUCUAGCACCUCCUUCAGGGACCGUGAGCUCCUUGGGGUCACUGCUCUGUCUCCACAGCAGAGCACGGUACCUAACAUGUGGCAGGACUCAAUAAAAGGUGGGUCAGUGUAUUUCUGAUACAAAACAAUUAAAUUGUGCCACCUUAUUUUGACUACAGUUGUUCAUAAGAGAGGAUAACGAUGACAUUUUGUAUCCUCUCAUAUUAAAUCAAUCUUGUAAACAAAAGACAAUUGCUUGUGAUGGCCUGUUAAGUUUUAGGAGUACAAUCUGGUGAAAAACACAGAAAAAAAUUGUAGAUCAAAUUGGAACAGGUCUAAUAUUUAUUUGCUAUGCUGAAAAUAAAGGCACUUCACUGCUAGGCAAGAAUAUAUCUGUGACUGAACAGUUUUCUCCAAGAAUCCAAUAUUUCCAGUAUAUUUUCAUAUACUUUCUUAUCUCUAAUACUCCUAUUAAAGGAAACUAUUAUUCAAAAUUAAGAGACAGUGGUGACAACAUCAUCAUCCUGGGUUUGUACCUUGAAGCAAUAUACUCAAUGAGCUCUAAAUCUCACAUUCACUAGUGAUCUGCAAGUGAAGCUGAAUAAAUAUAUUCUCUUUGUUCAGUCAUGGAAACUCAACAUUAGAAAUGACAUGUGGGAAUAGAUCACCUUCUCUCUAGACUAAUAUCCCAUUUCUGACAGUGGUCUCCAUGGCCCAUUGGGGCUUAUAAAGUAGCUGCCUUCUGUGACAUUCUGCUUGAAGACAAAGGCUUUGCCCAAACAUAACUCCUUUUAAAAAAGCACAACUUGUUUAGGCACACAGAGGUUAAGUGACUUACACAAAUCCACCCAGGAUUGUGAUUGGCACGGUCUAAUCUACUGAAAAAUAUAAGGCCAGGCAAUUAUAUAGAUAUCUUUUAACAAGUUAGUAAAAUAGUGGGGACUUUUCUGGCUAAAAAUUGUAAUUAAAUGGUAUGUUACUCUGUUAUAACUAAACAAACAAAAAAUCUAGAACAAGAACUUCUUGCUAGUUAUGGGUAAUAUAAAUACAGAGUAAGGUGAAGGAGGACUGUAUGUAUAUUUUUCCAACUUGAGAAGAUACUAGAAAGGAAAUUAAAAAUUAUUUGAACCAAUUAACCAGCCCUAAAGAAGUACUCUGCUUUGUAUGAACUAAAAUAUCCAACAAAGAAAUAAAAUAGGCAUUGCCCAGCUUCCUUUAAUGUCUCAACUAGUAAAGUAAAAUAAACAAUAUUCAAAGGCAGACCAAACCAUUUCUAAUCUAAAUAUAUCUUCUUGCUUAUUAAAAUGACACACAUACAAAGCCUCUAAACACGAUCUACCAUGUCUUUAAAAAAUUUCUCAGUGACACAUACUAGAGGGGACCAAACAAACUACUAAAGCAUAAGUACAUAUUUUAGCAUAACUGCUAAAUCACAAUGUAAUAAAAAGGUUUAUUAAAGAUUGCUAUUCUUUAUGCAAUUUUUCUAUACUAAGGAUUUAUGUAUGCAUGCAUAAGUAUACACCUGUAUGUAUAUAUAACUAUUAUUUUAGUGAUAGUCUGUGUAUUUUACACACCAGUGCCACAAAGGGGCAACCUUACAAAUUUUAUCUGUAUGGCAAAAAAAAUAAAAUAUCCUGAAAAUACAAGUAUACAAUACAUAUAGCAUUAAACAGUUGGUAACUUCCUAGAUUAACCUUUACCAAAUACAAAAUAAUGGCAAUACAAUGUGUUUUGCUUCUAUUUUUUGUUUUUUUACCAGAAUGAUAAAAAUAAAACUGCAUUAUGUCAAGAUAUUUGUACACACUCAGAAUUUUAAAAACUUAAGGAACAUACUGAAUUUUAGGCAAAAUUUAGGGGAAUCGGGACAUAGAUGGAAAACACAUUUUGGCGAAAGGUCCUUGAGAAUGCUGGAUUACCAUGUCCCUUAGAAAUUUUCUAUCCAAAUUAGUGAUAGAAACUCAGAUCAAAUAUCUUUUUUGUGGGUUGGAGGUAGAAGUUAACAAAUCAAGCAAAUCUCUCCUUCUACUCUCCCCAAAUCCAAACAUUCCUGCAUAUUUGAAACAAAUUUUCCUUUCCUAGACCAGUUGCUUAAUUCAUUAUCUACUUCUCCAAUAUUGAGUAAAUGUGUCUUUAGGGGCACACAUGUAGAAUAUUAAUCCACUUAAAUGGGCUCAAAUUCUAAGAAAAUAUUAACUAUACUAAAUGUUAUGGGAAGAAAAUACAUUGAAUGUGAGUUAAGGGCCAGUGUUUAGCAUUCACAUCCAGGAUUCUCUGGAUCUCAGUUGACUUGUCCUAUACAUCAAAAUAUGGCAAUUUUUCAAUCACAAUACUGCUAAAUGUUAUUCAGGCAUAAAGUUUCUUACCCACUGUUCCCUCAAAUUCAUUUUUGACCCUAGUAUUGGCAAUAGCCCUUUGCUAUUUAUAUAAUUAAAACUUUUCUUUAAAUUUCAAUUGACAGGAAAAAGAGUCAUUUUGUACUCUCUUAUCUAUAACCAUGUCUCACUUCAAGUCAAUGCUACAAUUGUCACUUUUAUUUUGAAAAGGAAGCUCAGAAGGAAAAAAACUCUUAGAGAGAUCUUCUAACAGAACAUUUUUCUUCACUGAUAGACAUCCAAGGCCAUUCCAUUUCUAAAUCACACUUAUCCCUCAAUCAAGUCAGUGACUGGAUCAUCUCCUAAGGUUUCACCUGCUUUGCAUCAGGUAGGUGAGAUGAAAGUGAUUUUAUGGGUAGCUUUCAGAAAAAUGUACUGCACUGAAGUGACAAAGUUCUGUCUUGCCUGUUCUCUCACAAAACAGCAUAUCAAUUAAAUAAUGUUUUCUUUACAAUACAGUUUCAUAGGACUUUCCAUUUGUUUCAGAGUGCCUUAACUUUUUAAAAAAAGACACUGUUAACAAAUACAAUUAUUUCUCUUAAAAUCCACUCAGCCAGCAUUUUUCACUAUCCUAUAAAGGCUUUAAAUGUCACAGAAUGUAUGAUAAUUUGCUCCUAACCUACUUUUGAAAAAGGAAAGAUUCCAAACAUUCUUGAAAAAAUGGUAAUUCAGAAAACACAAAAACCAAUUAUUUAAAAUAAUCCCCAAGCAAAAAAACCUCAGUGCAAGAAUACUGCAUACACUUUGCAGUACACGAAAUAUCACAAACAAUGCUUUUAUCAAUGUGCUAACAGUGGAUGUUGUUGAUCCUUUCAGUUCAGUAGCAUAAAACAAAUAUACAAAAAAUAUGUAAUAGUCCUCUAAAAACAUUCAUGCUAUACUCUCAAAAGUUGUGCAAAAAUAAAAAUACAGCAGUGGCAAAGUAUAUACCAAAUACAGACACUAUACAGACAGUGUGUAAGAAACUAGGCAUAUUGCAGAACACACCAUCUCUGUAAACUUCAACUCUGCAUGAAAUAGGCCACUCAGUUCCGCUUGGCCUGGCCGCUUUCCCCAUUAAUCAGCAUCUUCUCCUGCUGUUCUGCAAGGGCCUGCCAUUUCUGCCUGUUCUUUCUGCAGCCAUCUAGCAAAGGGAAACAGUCCUCUGACACGUGGGUCAGGGCCUAAAGAGAAAAAAGAAAGCAAACAGCUAGAGAGAAGCCAGGAAAUAAGUCCUCU
rnacentral:lncRNA from 1 species